rnacentral:rRNA from 1 species
AGUGGCGGACGGGUGAGUAACGCGUGGGUAACCUGCCUUACACAGGGGGAUAACAGUUAGAAAUGACUGCUAAUACCGCAUAACCCGCUAGUACCGCAUGGUACAGACGGAAAAGAUUUAUCGGUGUAAGAUGGACCCGCGUCUGAUUAGCUAGUUGGUAGGGUAACGGCCUACCAAGGCGACGAUCAGUAGCCGGCUUGAGAGAGUGAUCGGCCACAUUGGGACUGAGACACGGCCCAAACUCCUACGGGAGGCAGCAGUGGGGAUAUUGCACAAUGGGGGAAACCCUGAUGCAGCGACGCCGCGUGAAGGAAGACGUACUUCGGUAUGUAAACUUCUAUCAGCAGGGAAGAAAAUGACGGUACCUGACUAAGAAGCCCCGGCUAACUACGUGCCAGCAGCCGCGGUAAUACGUAGGGGGCAAGCGUUAUCCGGAUUUACUGGGUGUAAAGGGAGCGUAGACGGUCAUGCAAGUCUGGUGUGAAAACCCGGGGCUCAACCGCGGGAUUGCAUUGGAAACUGUAUGACUUGAGUGCUGGAGGGGUAAGCGGAAUUCCUAGUGUAGCGGUGAAAUGCGUAGAUAUUGGGAGGAACACCGGUGGCGAAGGCGGUUUACUGGACGACAACUGACGCUGAGACACGAAAGUGUGGGGAGCAAACAGGAUUAGAUACCCUGGUAGUCCACACCGUAAACGAUGAACGCUAGGUGUGGGGGCGCAAGCCUCCGUGCCGCAGCUAACGCAAUAAGCAUUCCACCUGGGGAGUACGGCCGCAAGGUUGAAACUCAAAGGAAUUGACGGGAGCCCGCACAAGCAGUGGAGUAUGUGGUUUAAUUCGACGCAACGCGAAGAACCUUACCAGGUCUUGACAUCCAAGGAACCCGGCGUAAUGGCUGGGGUGCCCUUCGGGGAAUCUUGAGACAGGUGGUGCAUGGUUGUCGUCAGCUCGUGUCGUGAGAUGUUGGGUUAAGUCCCGCAACGAGCGCAACCCUUACGGUCAGUUGCUACGCAAGAGCACUCUGGCCGGACUGCCGUUGACAAAACGGAGGAAGGUGGGGAUGACGUCAAAUCAUCAUGCCCCUUAUGAUCUGGGCUACACACGUACUACAAUGGCGAAUACAAAGGGAGGCGAAACCGCGAGGUGGAGCAAAUCCCAUAAAAAUCGCCCCAGUUCAGAUUGCAGGCUGCAACCCGCCUGCAUGAAGUUGGAAUUGCUAGUAAUCGCGGAUCAGCAUGCCGCGGUGAAUACGUUCCCGGGCUUUGCACUCACCGCCCGUCAA